ensembl:snoRNA
UCAAGCCAGUGAUGAUAAAAGUUAUCCCUGUCUGAACUUAAGUGUGGACUCAUGGUAACCUGAGGCUUGA